AACGAACGCUGGCGGCAUGCCUAACACAUGCAAGUCGAACGAGACCUUCGGGUCUAGUGGCGCACGGGUGCUUAACGCGUGGGAACCUGCCCUUAGGUUCGGAAUAACUCCCCGAAAGGGGUGCUAAUACCGGAUAAUGUCUUCGGACCAAAGAUUUAUCGCCUUUGGAUGGGCCCGCGUUGGAUUAGCUAGUUGGUAGGGUAAAAGCCUACCAAGGCGACGAUCCAUAGCUGGUCUGAGAGGAUGAUCAGCCACACUGGGACUGAGACACGGCCCAGACUCCGACGGGAGGCAGCAGUAGGGAAUAUUGGACAAUGGGCGAAGGCCUGAUCCCGCUAUGCCGGGUGAGAGAUGCAGGCCUUAGGGUUGUAAAGCUCUUUUACACGGGAUGAUAAUGACAGUACCGGGAGAAUAAGCUCCGGCUAACUCCGUG
rnacentral:rRNA from 1 species